rnacentral:rRNA from 1 species
GCGCAGCAGGCGCGAAACCUCCGCAAUGCGCGAAAGCGCGACGGGGUUACCCGAGUGCCGUCCGCUGAGGACGGCUUUUGCCCAGUGUAGCCAGCUGGGCGAAUAAGGAGAGGGCAAGUCUGGUGUCAGCCGCCGCGGUAAUACCAGCUCUCCGAGUGGUGGGGACGCUUAUUGGGCCUAAAGCAUCCGUAGCCGGCUAGGCAAGUCCUCCGUUAAAUCCAACGAUUCAAUCGUUGGGCUGCGGGGGAUACUGUCCAGCUUGGGGGCGGGAGAGGCCGACGGUAUUCCCGGGGUAGGGUGAAAUCCUAUAAUCCCGGGAGGACCACCAGUGGCGAAGGCUGUCGGCUAGAACGCGCCCGACGGUGAGGGAUGAAAGCUGGGGGAGCGAACCGGAUUAGAUACCCCCCGUGGU